AAAAAGUUCUGUUCAAACUUGGCUUUAUAAAUACUAUGCUGGGCUUGUGAUUUUCAGUGCGCCAGCCAAUUUCCCCAUCUCCUUGCUAACUAACUAGGUUUUGCACUCAGAAAGACGCAGAGCUAGCUCACCCCGGUUCAGAAAGAAUGUUACCUAAUGCUUUCCAAUUUUUGAUUCGGUUGCUUCUCAUCCUGAUCAUGCUGUUCCUUGUAAAGGAUGGCGAACUACUUUGGAUGGAUUUCAAGCCAGUGGGUACGCCUCCUGCUGGAUGUAAGUAUCUUUCUAUCUUGUAGUACAGCUUUUCGAACCAACUCGCGGUACAGUUAUUACUUACACAUUAUUACCUCUGCAGUCUUUUGUUCUCUCGUGCAUUUUUACUUGUUCAUAGACUGAUAACUAUCCUGGUAACAGCACUCAAUCCUCGAUGGCCAGGGCUGCACAAUCCAUUUCAUUGCGAUCCGCACUGUGAAUAGGAAGGGUAGUGGUUCUAGAAAAUGCAACAUACAAAUAUGUGGAUGACGGCUGUCGCCCCUUUUCCUCCACGAUACAUUGUCCAUCAAGUCUUCUGACUACAAAUAAAUGAAAUAUUCAUCAUUUUUACAGGAGCCAUGUACUUUCUGUAAGUGUAAUCCGUUCAAUCCACUGUAACUCGUACUUUAAGAUGAUUUGUCUUUGUAAUAGAGCAGAUUUGUCCGAGUGUUAUAGGCACAAUUGAGUCGCCAUGUUGUACCAGAAAAUAUAGCCCAACUUUUCCCCGAAGGACACAGCUUGCCUAUUUUUCAACUUGUGUGGUUAUUUUUACUACUUCUCUGAAUUAUGUUCCGA
rnacentral:lncRNA from 1 species